rnacentral:sRNA from 1 species
CAAAAUUUCUCCGAACCCUACCCCGCACUACAAUCUUCUCAUGCUUGGCUUCUUCUUUGGCUUGGCUUCGUGUUCGUCUUCUCCUGCGAGGUGGAGCGUCGAGAUGGAGGUGUCGAGGUGGAGGCAUCGAGGUGGAGGCGUCGAGGAAUUUGUGAGUUGAGCGAGUUCGAGGUGCUCUGGUGCACUCCUGCACUGACCGUCAAGCUCCUUGGACUAAUAAUAUG